rfam:Trichomonas vaginalis G3, whole genome shotgun sequence.
UGAUAGGUGCCGAAAUGUACUAUCACUGAUACCAUAAAGGGAGUCCAUGUAUUUAGACAGCAGGUCGGUGCCCCUAAAAGCAGGUAUCCGCUAAAGAGUGUGUUAAAACUCACCUGCCGAAUACUAGGGCCCCGAAAAUGAAUGGCGCAUAUAGUACUACCGAUCUCAGACAUCAGUUCUAUUGAACUGAGAGUAGGGGGAUGUGGACAUUUUUGUGAAGGUGCAAUGUGAGUUGGACUGGAAGAAUGUCUAUUACAGAUCCUAAUUGAAGUAGCGAUUAUCCAGGCUUGUAUCCUGGGGGCUGAUGAGGAGUAGGGUUUCUGGACAACUUAAACAGAUCCAGAGUUAGUCGAUCCUAAUCUCAAUAAUGGGAGAAAGGGAGUACAGUUGAUAUUCUGUAACUGACAACAGUUCGCGGCAACGCAUACUAUUUUUCUCCGCCAAUCUUAUACCGUUGGUAGGGAUCUCUUUCCUACAUGACAGUACUAAUACCCAGGGAAACUGGUCAUCAGGCGAACUGCGGCGUUCUGCUGGCAAAACAUAGCUUCGGUUAUGUCAAUGGCUAUUGGAUUGGUCCAUGAAGCGAAAAAUAGUUUACUGUGUCACUCGUACCGAUAACCGCAUCAGGUCUUCUAGGUAAGUAGCCUAUGGCCAUUGAGGCAUGAUAGUUCAGGGAAUUCGGCCAAUUAGAGCUGUAACUUCGGGAUAAAGCUUGGCUCUGAUGAAAAUCAGAACCGAUUGUUACGCGGAGAGCCCAACUGUUUAAUAAAAACGUAGUGUCGCGCUGUGGUAGUAUAGCCAGUGAACGCGACAUGAAUCCUGCUCAGUGCUGUGUCUGUUAAUAUGGUUCAAGCCAACGAAGCACCGGUAAAUAGCUGGGGUAACUAUGACUCUUAUCAAAGUAGCGAAAUACCUCGUCACUUAAUUAGUGACCUGCAUGAACGGAGCUAUGAGGUUCUCACUGUCCCAAACUGUCUCUCAGCGAACCAACUGUAGUGGGAACGGUCACUAGAUAUCCAGCGGGGAAAGAAGACCCUGUAGAGCUUCACUUUGGUCUAGUCUUGUAUAGUUCCUGCGGGGGUGUAGACUACGUGGGAGAGCAAUCGAUUCUGAAAAACCACUACCCUGUUUGGAAUAUG